rnacentral:rRNA from 1 species
ACGAACGCUGGCGGCGUGCCUAAUACAUGCAAGUAGAACGCUGAAGGAGGAGCUUGCUUCUCUGGAUGAGUUGCGAACGGGUGAGUAACGCGUAGGUAACCUGCCUGGUAGCGGGGGAUAACUAUUGGAAACGAUAGCUAAUACCGCAUAAUAGCAGUUGUUGCAUGACAACUGUUUGAAAGGUGCAAUUGCACCACUACCAGAUGGACCUGCGUUGUAUUAGCUAGUUGGUGGGGUAACGGCUCACCAAGGCGACGAUACAUAGCCGACCUGAGAGGGUGAUCGGCCACACUGGGACUGAGACACGGCCCAGACUCCUGCGGGAGGCAGCAGUAGGGAAUCUUCGGCAAUGGACGGAAGUCUGACCGAGCAACGCCGCGUGAGUGAAGAAGGUUUUCGGAUCGUAAAGCUCUGUUGUAAGAGAAGGACGAGUGUGAGAGUGGAAAGUUCACACUGUGACGGUAUCUUACCAGAAAGGGACGGCUAACUACGUG